GCUCAGUUGGCUAAGCGUCUGACUUCAACUCAGGUCAUGAUCUCACGGCUUGUGGGUUCGAGUCCUGCAUUGAGCU
rnacentral:tRNA from 1 species